rnacentral:rRNA from 1 species
AUGAACGCUGGCGGCGUGCUUAACACAUGCAAGUCGAACGAUUAACCCGCCCUCGGGCGGUUAUAGAGUGGCGAACGGGUGAGUAACACGUGACCAACCUGCCCCUUGCUCCGGGACAACCCAGGGAAACCUCGGCUAAUACCGGAUACUCCGCGCAGCCCGCAUGGGAGGCGCGGGAAAGCCCAGACGGCAAGGGAUGGGGUCGCGGCCCAUUAGGUAGACGGCGGGGUAACGGCCCACCGUGCCCGCGAUGGGUAGCCGGGUUGAGAGACCGAUCGGCCACAUUGGGACUGAGAUACGGCCCAGACUCCUACGGGAGGCAGCAGUGGGGAAUUUUGCGCAAUGGGGGAAACCCUGACGCAGCAACGCCGCGUGCGGGACGAAGGCCUUCGGGUUGUAAACCGCUUUCAGCAGGGAAUAUAGUGAAGGUACCUGCAGAAGAAGCUCCGGCUAACUACGUGCCAGCAGCCGCGGUAAUACGUAGGGAGCGAGCGUUAUCCGGAUUCAUUGGGCGUAAAGCGCGCGUAGGCGGCCCGUCAAGCGGGGUUUCAAAUCCAGGGGCUCAACCUCUGGCCGGACCCCGAACUGGCGGGCUCGAGUGCGGUAGAGGAAGGUGGAAUUCCCAGUGUAGCGGUGAAAUGCGCAGAUAUUGGGAAGAACACCGAUGGCGAAGGCAGCCUUCUGGGCCGCCACUGACGCUGAGGCGCGAAAGCUAGGGGAGCGAACAGGAUUAGAUACCCUGGUAGUCCUAGCCGUAAACGAUGGGCACUAGGUGUGGGGGAGCAUCUCCUCCGUGCCGCAGCCAACGCAUUAAGUGCCCCGCCUGGGGAGUACGGCCGCAAGGCUAAAACUCAAAGGAAUUGACGGGGGCCCGCACAAGCAGCGGAGCAUGUGGCUUAAUUCGAAGCAACGCGAAGAACCUUACCAGGUCUUGACAUCCUUCUGACCGCACCUUAAUCGGUGCUUUCCUUCGGGACAGAAGAGACAGGUGGUGCAUGGUUGUCGUCAGCUCGUGUCGUGAGAUGUUGGGUUAAGUCCCGCAACGAGCGCAACCCCUGUCGCGUGUUGCCAGCAUUGAGUUGGGGACUCGCGCGAGACUGCCGGCGUCAAGCCGGAGGAAGGUGGGGACGACGUCAAGUCAUCAUGCCCCUUAUGCCCUGGGCUGCACACGUGCUACAAUGGCCGGUACAACGGGCUGCGACGCCGCGAGGCGGAGCGAAUCCCUCAAAGCCGGCCCCAGUUCGGAUCGCAGGCUGCAAUUCGCCUGCGUGAAGCCGGAGUUGCUAGUAAUCGCGGAUCAGCAUGCCGCGGUGAAUACGUUCCCGGGCCUUGUACACACCGCCCGUCACACCACUCGAGUCGUCUGCACCCGAAGUCGCCGGCCGAACCCGCAAGGGGCGGAGGCGCCGAAGGUGUGGAGGGUAAGAGGGGUG